rnacentral:rRNA from 1 species
UAGGGAAUCUUCGGCACUGGGGGCAACCCUGACCGAGCAACGCCGCGUGAGUGAAGAAGGUUUUCGGAUCGUAAAGCUCUGUUGUAAGAGAAGAACGUGUGUGAGAGUGGAAAGUUCACACAGUGACGGUAACUUACCAGAAAGGGACGGCUAACUACGUGCCAG